CUCUCUUUCUCCCUGUCUUUCUCGUUGAUUCGCUCUCUUGUCUCGAGGUCGAGCGUUACGUGUCUGCGGAAGACGGGAUCGGGCAAUUUAUCAAUCCACGAGCGAAAGAACGACUCCUGGCCCGGCGGGUAAUUUAACAAGAUUGAUGCGAAGCCGACAUGCCACAGUUUCGCAGCUCGUCGAGAAGGGGUCGGUUCGUGUAGGUGGUGCUAGCCCGAUGUCGAGGGUGUUCGAGGGUGUUCGAGGGAAGAGAAGGGCAGACGUGUGAGCGACUGGUUAUUAGGAAGGCUCAUCAAGCAGACCGGCACAGAAUCACGCAGCGCAUUAAAACAACGCCAAGUCUGAUGGAGAUUACUAACAUCGAGUUUAGUCGGUCGGUAAUGUCGACUUAUCACGAUCCUUCAUCCACCGGAUGUUGCCGUAAUUAUUCAGCCGUAAGCAAGGAUGAACCGGCGAGGCGUCAAGGACAGCAGAACCCGGCCGAGGGAAACAAUAUUAAUUGGCUCGUUUAUUGCGGCGUGGGCGGCCGUAUGCGUUGCUUUCUACGUCAACUUUCCGUGGAUGGCUAAAGGGGGUUGGUUAGUGAUGGAUCCUCGAGUAUCAAUCGACAUCGAAGAAAAGAAACCAUCCCGUGGGAUCAUUAAUCACAGUCGGUGAAUCAUCGAAAGAGGAAGAGAAAGGACUACAGAAAGAAAAAAGAAAAAGAUAAACCAACAAGAAGAGGAGAGCAACGAAAAACUCGUGAAACUCGCUAAUGGGGAUUGAAAAAUCAGCUAUCGGUGGGAUAAGUCAAAGUUAUUACAUAGAACCCCCAUGCUUACGUACGAUAAUAAGAGGUCAUAAGAGAGACAGAAGGAGGGACGUUGGGUUUUGCGCGAGAAGUCGAGGGCUGACGUAGCAUCGAAGAUUUACGGUGGUCGCGGGUUCGGGAGCGUUGGGGAGGGGUCGGAGGGGGACAUACAUCCUGUAUGAAUGGCGGGGCAGCUUGUAAUAAUUCAACUCCGCGGCCACACCUCGGCCACUUCCCGUCUGCAGUCUGGCAGGGCACGACCACCACGCGGCAGACUGCCGUUGCUCCGUUGUGGAAGGCUUUCCG